UACGUAGGGUCCGAGCGUUGUCCGGAAUUACUGGGCGUAAAGAGCUCGUAGGUGGUUUGUCGCGUUGUUCGUGAAAACUCACAGCUCAACUGUGGGCGUGCGGGCGAUACGGGCAGACUUGAGUACUGCAGGGGAGACUGGAAUUCCUGGUGUAGCGGUGGAAUGCGCAGAUAUCAGGAGGAACACCGGUGGCGAAGGCGGGUCUCUGGGCAACUACUGACGCUGAGGAGCGAAAGCAUGGGGGAGCGAACAGG
rnacentral:rRNA from 1 species